rnacentral:rRNA from 1 species
AUUGAACGCUGGCGGAAUGCUUUACACAUGCGAGUCGAACGGCAGCACGGACUUCGGUCUGGUGGCGAGUGGCGAACGGGUGAGUAAUGUAUCGGAACGUGCCCAGUCGUGGGGGAUAACGUAGUGAAAAUUACGCUAAUACCGCAUACGAUCUAUGGAUGAAAGCGGGGGAUCGCAAGACCUCGCGCGAUUGGAGCGGCCGAUAUCAGAUUAGGUAGUUGGUGGGGUAAAGGCCCACCAAGCCAACGAUCUGUAGCUGGUCUGAGAGGACGACCAGCCACACUGGAACUGAGACACGGUCCAGGCUCCUACGGGAGGCAGCAGUGGGGAAUUUUGGACAAUGGGCGAAAGCCUGAUCCAGCCAUUCCGCGUGCAGGAUGAAGGCCCUCGGGUUGUAAGCUGCUUUUGUACAGAACGAAAAGGUUUCUACUAAUACUAGGGGCUCAUGACGGUACUGUAAGAAUAAGCACCGGCUAACUACGUGCCAGCAGCCGCAGUAA